rnacentral:rRNA from 1 species
GAGGUCUUUGGUGAUUCAUAGUAACUUUUCGAAUCGCAUGGUUUACGUCGGCGAUGGUUCAUUCAAAUUUCUGCCCUAUCAAGUUUCGAUGGUAGGAUAGAGGCCUACCAUGCUUUUUACGGGUAACGGCGAAUUAGGGUUCGAUUCCGGAGAGGGAGCCUGAGAAACGGCUACCACAUCUAAGGAAGGCAGCAGGCGCGCAAAUUACCCAAUCCUGAUUCAGGGAGGUAGUGACAAUAAAUAACAAUCCAGGACUUCGGUCUUGGAAUUGGAAUGAGAACAAUUUAAAUCUCUUAUCGAGGAACAAUUGGAGGGCAAGUCUGGUGCCAGCAGCCGCGGUAAUUCCAGCUCCAAUAGCGUAUAUUAAAGUUGUUGCAGUUAAAUAGCUCGUAGUUGAAUCUUGGGGCUGGUUUGGCGGUCGCGUCUUUGACGUGUACUGUCGGCCGGUUCUUUUACUUGUGGGGAACGUAUGUGCCCUUUGCGGGGUGUGUACGGGAACCAUGGCUGUUACUUUGAAAAAAUUAGAGUGUUUAAAGCGGGCGUAAGCUUGUAUACAUUAGCAUGGAAUAAUAGAAUAGGACUUUGGUUUAUUUUGGUGGGUUCUAGGGCCGAAGGUAAUGAUUAAUAGGGAAUAGUUGGGGGGCAUUAAGUAUUUAAUAGUCAGAGGUGAAAAUUCUUGGGAUUUAUGAAAGAUAAUUUCUGGGAAAA